rnacentral:pre_miRNA from 1 species
AAAGUACUCCCUCCGUCCCAAAAUUCUUGUCUUAGAUUUGUCUAGAUAUGGAUGUAUCAAGUCACAUUUUAGUAUUAGAUACAUCCGUAUCUAGACAAAUCUAAGACAAGAAAUUUGGAACAAAGGGAGUAGUUG